rnacentral:rRNA from 1 species
AUUACCUCAGUAACGGCGAGUGAAGCGGUAACAGCUCAAAUUUGAAAUCUGGGCCUUUCAGGCUCCGAGUUGUAAUUUGUAGAAGAUGCUUUGGGUGCGGCCCCGGUCUAAGUUCCUUGGAACAGGACGUCAUAGAGGGUGAGAAUCCCGUAUGUGAUCGGUGGCUUGCGCCCGUGUAAAGCUCUUUCGACGAGUCGGGUUGUUUGGGAAUGCAGCUCUAAAUGGGUGGUAAAUUUCAUCUAAAGCUAAAUAUUGGCCAGAGACCGAUAGCGCACAAGUAGAGUGAUCGAAAGAUGAAAAGCACUUUGGAAAGAGAGUUAAACAGUACGUGAAAUUGUUGAAAGGGAAGCGCUUGCAACCAGACUUGCGCGGGGUUGAUCAUCCGGGGUUCUCCCCGGUGCACUCGGCCCCGCUCAGGCCAGCAUCGGUUUUGGUGGUUGGAUAAAGGCCUUGGGAAUGUGACUUCUUUCGGGGAGUGUUAUAGCCCUCGGUGCAAUGCAGCCUACCGGGACCGAGGACCGCGCUUCGGCUAGGAUGCUGGCGUAAUGGUUGUAAGCGACCCGUCUUGAAACACGGACCAAGGAGUCUAACAUCUAUGCGAGUGUUUGGGUGUCAAACCCAUGCGCGUAAUGAAAGUGAACGGAGGUGAGAACCCUUAAGGGCGCAUCAUCGACCGAUCCUGAUGUCUUCGGAUGGAUUUGAGUAAGAGCAUAGCUGUUGGGACCCGAAAGAUGGUGAACUAUGCCUGAAUAGGGUGAAGCCAGAGGAAACUCUGGUGGAGGCUCGCAGCGGUUCUGACGUGCAAAUCGAUCGUCAAAUUUGGGCAUAGGGGCGAAAGACUAAUCGAACCAUCUAGUAGCUGGUUCCUGCCGAAGU